GCUCUCGUGGAUGAAUGGGACAUCGCUCAUUCUGAAUAGAAGAAAAUUGCAAGUGGAAAUGCGAAGUGGAGGUUCGAAUCCUCCUGAGGGCA